rnacentral:rRNA from 1 species
CAGUAGCCGCGGGAAUACGUAGGUGGCAAGCGUUGUCCGGAAUUAUUGGGCGUAAAGGGCUCGCAGGCGGUUUCUUAAGUCUGAUGUGAAAGCCCCCGGCUCAACCGGGGAGGGUCAUUGGAAACUGGGAAACUUGAGUGCAGAAGAGGAGAGUGGAAUUCCACGUAUAGCGGUGAAAUGCGUAGAGAUGUGGAGGAACACCAGUGGCGAAGGCGACUCUCUGGUCUGUAACUGACGCUGAGGGGCGAAAGCGUGGGGAGCGAACAGGAUUAGAUACCCCUGUAGUCCCUGUCUCUUAUAC